ensembl:lncRNA
UUGUAAUUAAGCCCAGAUAUAUAAGAGACAGCUUCUUUUUUCUGCACUGGGAAGGCACAUAGCAAGUUGAGCUAUCAGAAACUAGGGUUUUCUAGCAACAAAUACCUAAAGAUCUAAUUCCCAUCAUUCAGAAGGAGCACAAACUAAGGGAAAAGAGCAAGAAGGCAUCAGUGUGAGACAGUGGUUUCUAGGAAUAUAACCUACUUUCAGCAUGCUCAAUCCCUGCAGUGAAAUGGCACACAGAUGACAGCACUCAAUUAAGUUCAGAAUUAAUGUAGCAUGAAAGCACAGUCUUACCGAGAAGGCCGAGUGAAAUUGAACAGGAGGAUUGCAGACAGCAAAAGAGUAUCCAGCAAUCAUCUGGCAAAUCUGCAAUCAGACCAGACUUGGCAGUUAUUACUUCUCUACAUACAGGUUGUCACAUUCUGCUAACCCGGAAGAUCAAUCAGAGGCAAGUUUCUCCGACAGCUUGCAAACACGACUGUUUUCUUCACACUGUUUCAAUUCAGUGCUACUUCUGCCAUAGACAGACACAUAUUUCUAAAGCUAUUUAUUUUCCGUUGAAAUAGAUACAAAAUGCAAUAGCAAGGAGAAGGCUCAAUACUCAACCUAUUUAAACUAACACUCAAAAAUAUUUCACCUCGUUUUGCUGUAUCACAAGCAAGACUUGAGAAGUUACCUGUCUUUAGAGAUUGCCACACAUUCAUCCCUCCAGACUGCAGCAGCCCCAUCACAUCAGAUUCAUCUGCAGUGCAGUCUUACCUGCCAACCAUGCCAGCAGCAUUUGCUUCACAACUGAGAGAAAAGCGAGAAUAAACCCCAUGCUGACGACCCGGCA